rnacentral:misc_RNA from 1 species
AAUGGAAAAACAAGAAUAAUUGAUAGGAGUAUAUUGAGAAAAAGGAUAGAACCCUAUGUUUGAACCGUAGUUUCCUCUUGUACCUUUUUCAUCCACAGAAAUUAUUUAUCAGGCACCUAGCGAACAUUCUUUCUCAUUUUUCUGAUAGCCACUUUGAGAAUUGUUAUUGUUUGUAUUGCUGUUAUGUUGGUUUGAGUCUUGAGAUUGUGUGUGUGUCUAAGUGAAAUUAUAAUUUUGUGACUAUUAUUCAGGUCAGUGUGCCAGUGAUAAGAUUCCAGGGCAAGAGAAGCUCAGUGAAAGUCACUUGAUGGAUCUUCUCAAUGGUUCUGAGUAUGUGCUGACUUAUGAGGACAAGGAUGGUGAUUGGAUGCUAGUUGGCGAUGUUCCUUGGGAGAUGUUCAUAGACUCAUGCAAGAGAUUGCGGAUCAUGAAGAGCUCAGAGGCAAUUGGGCUAGCUCCAAGGGCCAUAAAUAAGUGCAAGAACCAAAAUUAGUGACUGAAAGACUAACCGUCCAAAGGGUUUCUACAACGUCAACCAUCCUUUUUCUGCCCUGUUUGUAUCUGGAAUUAGACUAGAUGUGUAGCAUCCCCUGAAAGGGAGAGAGCUGGUUUAAGAAAAUAUAACCGGUCAAAAAUUGUACUGUGGCUAGUGUCUUUUGAGUGGCAAUUUUUGCUUGCACAUGCAACCUGCAAGUUUAUUUGCAAACAUACAUUAAUUUUUAAG